AUAAAUGCGUUGAAAGGGAAGAGUAUAACAUUAAACGUCUGCAGAGAGGAGAAUUAGUAGCUGUGAGAUUCUCUAGAUAGUCAUGUUAGAAGGUAGCCCUGGAGCAUCUUUUCUGAACGGAACCAUUCUCAUUAGGAAAAGACGGAUCUGUCCGUUAUCCAAUUAAGAGUAUAAGCAAAUCUUGAAUUUGUUUGUAAAUAAAGGUGGUACCACGAUGUCCCUCGUCCUUUUU
rfam:Bacillus gaemokensis strain JCM 15801 contig1, whole genome shotgun sequence.